rnacentral:miRNA from 1 species
GACACUUGGGCCGGGAUGUAGAUCAGGUUUGCCCACUUGCUUGAGAAAAGACGUUCCAGUGAGGAACCCUGAUCCCUCGGCCCCA